AGUGAACGCUGGCGGUAGGCCUAACACAUGCAAGUCGAACGGCAGCACAGUAAGAGCUUGCUCUUACGGGUGGCGAGUGGCGGAAGGGUGAGGAAUACAUCGGAAUCUACUUUUUCGUGGGGGAUAACGUAGGGAAACUUACGCUAAUACCGCAUACGACCUACGGGUGAAAGCAGGGGAUCUUCGGACCUUGCGCGAUUGAAUGAGCCGCUGUCGGAUUAGCUAGUUGGCGGGGUAAAGGCCAACCAAGGCGCCGAUCCGUAGCUGGUCUGGGUGGAUGAUCGGCCACACGGGAACGUAGACACGGUCCAUACUCCUGCGGGAGGCAGCAGUGUGGAAUAUUGGACAAUGGGCGCAAGCCUGAUCCAGCCAUACCGCGUGUGUGAAGAAGGCCUUCGGGUUGUAAAGCCCUUUUGUUGGUAAAGAAAAGCAGCAGGUUAAUACCCCGCUGUUCUGACGGUACCCAAAGAAUAAGCACCGGCUAACUUCGUG
rnacentral:rRNA from 1 species